UACGUAGGGUGCGAGCGUUGUCCGGAAUUAUUGGGCGUAAAGGGCUCGUAGGCGGCCUGUCGCGUCGGAUGUGAAAGCCCAGGGCUUAACCCCGGGUCUGCAUUCGAUACGGGCAGGCUGGAGUGUGGUAGGGGAGAUCGGAAUUCCUGGUGUAGCGGUGAAAUGCGCAGAUAUCAGGAGGAACACCGGUGGCGAAGGCGGGUCUCUGGGCCGAUACUGACGCUGAGGAGCGAAAGCGUGGGGAGCGAACAGG
rnacentral:rRNA from 1 species